rnacentral:rRNA from 1 species
CCUACGGGCGGCAGCAGUGGGGAAUAUUGGACAAUGGGCGAAAGCCUGAUCCAGCCAUGCCGCGUGUGUGAAGAAGGCCUUCGGGUUGUAAAGCACUUUCAGUGGGGAAGAAAGCCUUGGGGCUAAUACCCUCGAGGAAGGACAUCACCCACAGAAGAAGCACCGGCUAACUCCGUGCCAGCAGCCGCGGUAAUACGGAGGGUGCGAGCGUUAAUCGGAAUUACUGGGCGUAAAGCGCGCGUAGGCGGUCUGAUAAGCCGGUUGUGAAAGCCCCGGGCUCACCCUGGGAACGGCAUCCGGAACUGUCAGGCUAGAGUGCAGGAGAGGAAGGUAGAAUUCCCGGUGUAGCGGUGAAAUGCGUAGAGAUCGGGAGGAAUACCAGUGGCGAAGGCGGCCUUCUGGACUGACACUGACGCUGAGGUGCGAAAGCGUGGGUAGCAAACAGGAUUAGAUACCCCAGUAGUC